CUUGAGGCGUGGCUUCCGGAGCUAACGCGUUAAAUCGACCGCCUGGGGAGUACGGCCGCAAGGUUAAAACUCAAAUGAAUUGACGGGGGCCCGCACAAGCGGUGGAGCAUGUGGUUUAAUUCGAUGCAACGCGAAGAACCUUACCUGGUCUUGACAUCCACAGAACUUAGCAGAGAUGCUUUGGUGCCUUCGGGAACUGUGAGACAGGUGCUGCAUGGCUGUCGUCAGCUCGUGUUGUGAAAUGUUGGGUUAAGUCCCGCAACGAGCGCAACCCUUAUCCUUUGUUGCCAGCGGUUAGGCCGGGAACUCAAAGGAGACUGCCAGUGAUAAACUGGAGGAAGGUGGGGAUGACGUCAAGUCAUCAUGGCCCUUACGACCAGGGCUACACACGUGCUACAAUGGCGCAUACAAAGAGAAGCGACCUCGCGAGAGCAAGCGGACCUCAUAAAGUGCGUCGUAGUCCGGAUUGGAGUCUGCAACUCGACUCCAUGAAGUCGGAAUCGCUAGUAAUCGUAGAUCAGAAUGCUACGGUGAAUACGUUCCCGGGCCUUGUACACACCGCCCGUCACACCAUGGGAGUGGGUUGCAAAAGAAGUAGGUAGCUUAACCUUCGGGAGGGCGCUUACCACUUUGUGAUUCAUGACUGGGGUGAAGUC
rnacentral:rRNA from 4 species